rnacentral:rRNA from 1 species
UAGUCCACGCCGUAAACGAUGAGUGCUUGGUGUAGCGGGUAUCGACCCCUGCUGUGCCGAAGUCAACACAUUAAGCACUCCGCCUGGGGAGUACGGUCGCAAGACUGAAACUCAAAGGAAUUGACGGGGGCCCGCACAAGCGGUGGAGCAUGUGGUUUAAUUCGAAGCAACGCGCAGAACCUUACCUGGGUUUGAACUGUACAGGCAACUCUCAGAGAUGAGAGCCCCUCUUCGGAGGUCUGUAU